ACACGUGAGUAACCUGCCCUUAACUUCGGGAUAAGCCUGGGAAACCGGGUCUAAUACCGGAUACGACGGAUUCCCGCAUGGGGGUCCGUGGAAAGCUUGAUGCGGUUUUGGAUGGACUCGCGGCCUAUCAGCUAGUUGGUUGGGGUAAUGGCCCACCAAGGCGACGACGGGUAGCCGGCCUGAGAGGGUGACCGGCCACACUGGGACUGAGACACGGCCCAGACUCCUACGGGAGGCAGCAGUGGGGAAUAUUGCACAAUGGGCGAAAGCCUGAUGCAGCGACGCCGCGUGAGGGACGAAGGCCUUCGGGUUGUAAACCUCUUUCAGCAGGGAAGAAGCGAAAGUGACGGUACCUGCAGAAGAAGCGCCGGCUAACUACGUGCCAGCAGCCGCGGUAAUACGUAGGGCGCAAGCGUUAUCCGGAAUUAUUGGGCGUAAAGAGCUCGUAGGCGGUUUGUCGCGUCUGCUGUGAAAGCCCGGGGCUCAACCCCGGGUCUGCAGUGGGUACGGGCAGACUAGAGUGCAGUAGGGGAGACUGGAAUUCCUGGUGUA
rnacentral:rRNA from 2 species